CAGUCCUGAGCUUAGUUUCUGCAAUAUGUAUGAGUUGAUUAUGUUCGAACUAGAUAAAAGACGACUGAGCUAUCCAUUAAAGUUGAAGUUCACUGUUCACUCAUAUUGAGCGUCUGGGUCUUCCUUCUGUCGGCAACAGUAGUACUCAGAAAAUCACCACAAGCUGAUGUGAUGCUAGGAAUACUUAGUAUAGGAACAACAGUUUUCAUUAUCUUUACAGAUAAGUAUACUCCACUGUGCAAUGGCUACAUGCAGUGCUCUGCAUUGACCUACACUUUCACUUGAAUUUUCUUUGGGGAUUAGAAACUGUACUUCAAGCAGACUGGCUUUUCUAGAAGUCUUGGGACCUCAUUUCCAGGGAAGAAAAAGACUCCCAAAUGCACUUGAAAUUCACUGCAGAAUGGAAGAACAAAAGAGAUUCAGAUCUUUACAUGUCAGCACAUCUCUCUUUUAUUAUACACUUUGGAGAAAAAGAUGUUCCCAUGUCUUGUUUUUUUUUUUUUUUUUUUUUUUUUUCUUUUCCCAAUGCAUUACACAAAUUUUAUCUUCAUCCUAAAGGAUAACUUUGGCACGUAAAGGUGGAGUGAAGAAAAUGGCUGUUCCUUGGUACAGUUUAGCAGUGCAUUCAGCAAGAACAUAAUAGUUUAGAAAGGGGGAAGAGUAUGAGAGUUCUCAGAAAGUGUGGAUACAUAUUGUAGUAGUAAUAUUUAUUCUGAAUUGUUUUCAGAAUACAAUCUUAACUGUGCAGUUAUAAUAACAGCAAGAACUUCCAUUUGUUACUAAAGGAAGAUAGCGUCAAUGAUGAUUAAAUCAUCAUUGAUAAUUUUUUUAUGAAAAAUAACCUUCUUUUUUUACCUUUUUCUUAAAAAAAAAAAAAAAAGGGGGGGGGGGUAUUUACCUAAGAAAUUUAAAAUAACAAAGGGUGUCCUGCUACAUUUUAAAAAGAGAAUAAAGAAUCUAUCUGUGGUACUGUAACAGGAGAAAUAUUUCUAAUGCUGUAUAGAAGUAGUAUAUUGUAUCUCCUCAGCAUUAUUUUCUCUCUGCAGUUCUCAUGUCACUUUUUGGGACAUAAGCCAUUUUUCACUUACUUAAAGAACAUGUGGACUUCAGUAAAUACACAGUUCAUUUCUAGAAUAAAAUAUAGAGAACGUAUUCAGAAAAUAAGUUUGUCUAGCCAUGUACUGUAUUGAUUAGUUUCAAGCUCCACUUAAAAAAUAUAUUUAACAAAUAAAUAAAACCAAAUAAAUAAAUAAAUAAAUAAAAUAAAUAAAACCAAACACCUAUUGGUUUCAUUCUCUGAGACACUCGUUUUUUACUCUAUGCCAACAUUCAGAAAAGAACAUGUUUAACAAGGCUUUACAUGUCAGUGUUCGGAUCAUAAAUAAUUCAGAUUAGUUCUAAUUCAGAUGAGAAAAUACAGAUUACUUCUAAUUUCAAAGUCAUAGUGCUAGGAAUUCUCUCCAUAGUCUUAAUAUUAUUUCCCUGACUUUUGGGAGCUAUUGCAUGCCAAAUGUUAAAAACACCAUUUCUUGUCCAGCAUCCUACUGAAUGUAAAGUUUUAAAAUGUCACAUGAGUAAAGAAUGAAAAAGUAUAUAUAUAUCUGAAAAGAUGUUAUAGUCUUCAACAAGCAGGCUUGCUUAGAUCCUGGGUACAUUUAUAAGUCCCAGAAAAUCCACAGGUAGAACUAAGAUAUUAUUUAAUAAGACAAUAAAGGUAUUUAACUCAAAUAUGUGUAGAGAUAUCCUUUUUACAUUUGUCUAUGUGUUUUUAGCAAUGUGGGAUAUAUUCAUGAAGAAUAAUUUUUGUCAGAAUGUAUAAAAUGUUGUACUAAAAAUGUUCAUAUCCUUCUUUGUAGCUUUCUGUUUGCAUCUGUCCUCUUUGUACCUUCUCCUCAGCCCUAAUUACUCAUUUUUCUUUUAAAGAAUAGCACAGGUUCCUACAACCAAUAAAGUAGUAUGAAAACACUUUUUUUUUUUUUUUUUUUUAAUUUAAAUUCCAAACCAUAAAAAGAUUCAAGAAUCACUCAGAUAAUACAACAUAAGGAACAUGAUGCAACAAACUGGAAGAAUUUGGUAGGAAGAAAAAAAAAAAAAAAAAAGAAUACUUUUUCAGGUCUUUGAGGUCUUGGAAUGACUAAUGCAAAUUUACAUUCUCUCCUCUCUGUAUAUGCUUGUCUGUGAACAGAUGAAGGAUAAGAGAAAUUUUAGUCAAAACUGCUCACUAUGGUAUCAUAAUCCUUGGGACCUCUUCUGAUCUAUCAUUACUAGCAAUGUAUUGUUAUCUCCUCAAAGCCACACAAUUAGAUCUUGAAUCCUAGGCUGGUAAACCUAGAAUUCUGUGGCUUUUUCAAGAUCAAUCAAUGGACAGAGUUCACAGAUGUUCAAAAGCAGAGGAGCUAUUUUGAUUAAUUUUGACAGAAGCACUGUGUCAGUGGAUGAGGAAGGGGGUGAUGAUUCCCUGACCAUAACAAACAAAUAAUAAUAAUAAAGAAAAAGAUUAAGUAACGUGUGAUGCCACUAGGGGAAAAAAUAAAUAAAUAAAUAAAUAAAUAAAUAAAUAAAUAAAUAAAUAAAUGUUAGUUAUACAGAAGGCACCCCUGAAAGUUAUUGGGAACAGAUACAGAAUUUUCUGUGGAGUAAAGUAGUUUGCUCUCCUUUUUUAAGGAUGUGUAAAUAUAAUUGUUGGGUCAGAUUCAAAAGCUUUUUUCCAUUCUCAUGUCAUUCAGUCUUUUUUUCCUGAGGGAUAUUAUGUCCAAGUAAACUCCUAAAUAAUUUGUUUAAACCUAGUAGUGAAAACACCUACGAGAAACGUCACAGUUUCUAAGUUUACUUUGGUAAGUUUUAUGAAUUGCUCUGUACCCUAUCAAAAACUUUUUCUCUGAGACCUUAAGUCUACAAAAUAAGAAAAAGGGAACAUACAUACACUGUCUUACACUGAGAAACCCAUGAAGAAAUAAGUCAGUGUGGGGGCUCACAUCUGCACACAUUAUUGCCAGUUUUCCAUUGUGAGCAGACAGAUGACCAACACUUCUGUUUUUCUGCAAAUAUAGCUACACGGACACUGCGUAAAAAGUAUGGUGAUUCUUCUGUUUGCCCACAAAUUUAGGGUAUUAUUAGAGACUGAAAAGUAAUUGUUAUGAUAAUAUGACACUAUUUACAAAACCUGCUACUUCAAUGAAAUUAACUAGUAGGGGAUGACUAUGGAGAUACUAAUGAAGCACACGGGUUUCAUCAGCAGCUAUGUCAUUUAACAUAUCUUACUGCUGAUGUGCUGUGAGUUAUUGGGAACGGACAGGAAAAUAUUAAUUUUGUACUCACAGAUGCAAAAUUAAUGAUUAAUGAAUAAAAUCAGAGAUGCAUAAAGACCUUACCUUGUGUUUGUUGUUGCAGCAAGAAAAAAAAAAAAUCAGUGUGAUUAGAGAAGUAUAAUGGGGGAAAAAAAAUAAAAAUAAAAACAAAACAAAAAACCCAACAACAACAAAACAUUAUUACUACAAAGAAAACAUAAAAUCUUCUGCCUUAGUUUUUCUGAGCAGAACCUCCUCUCCUCCAUUUUCCAGGAGGAAAUUAACAAUUAACCACAAGUCAUUUGAAUUCAGAUGAGGGUGUAUAAUUCAUGAGUCUGUAUAAAUUUGUUUAGUAAAUAAAACCACAGACUCAGUAUUCCAGAAAAGAGAAGAAAUGUGAUACCUGAAGUCUCCUGGAUGUCUGGAAAAUGAGCCAACACUGAAGAAAAUGCACACUUUUCACUCUUUUAUCACAAACUUUGGAAAAAUCCAGCCAGUAAUAUUUGAAAACUGCUUAGUCUUUUAAAAAGACAAACAAACGAAAUAAUAAAAUAAAAUAAAAUAAAAUAAAAUAAAAUAAAAUAAAAUAAAAUAAACAUUAGAAAAAAAAAAAAAAGGAGAGGAAAAGAGAAAGACAUUCAAAGUAGAUAAAUGUUUCAAGGGCUUAUAAAGUUCAUUUUCCCAGAAGUUUCGAAGCAAAUUCUUCUCUAAUUCCAGUAUUAUUACAGUAAGCCAUUUAUUCUAAACACAACAGGAAAAAGAGUAUCUAUCACUUGGAUAUUUUUAAGCUGUCUACCAUAAUACAUUCCUGAUAAAUGAACCAUUGCAGGGCCAACCUAAAAUGGGGAAAGAGCACCACCAGUGAAAGAAAUAUUGUCCUUGUACUACCUUUAAUCUCAAACUGCAGAUGCACAGAUAGCCUUUGUUGCUUGGGAAGAAAAGUUUCUUUUCCAUUGUGUUCAUUUGCUUUGAAUAGCACCAAUACAUACUUUUUUCUCUGAGCUUUUCAUCAAAGCACUUAUCAAAGUGAAGAGGCAUUGAACUUCUGUUCCUUUAGCAUUUCACCCAUAUUGAGUCACCACCUAAGUAAUGCUGUUUUGUUUUAGCUCUCAUUUAUAACCGAAUUUGGUAAAGGAUCUUGUUAUCAAAAUGCAGCAUUUUAGAUCCCCAUUUUUAUCACUAGAGAAAUGCUAAAGAGUUAAGUCAGUAAGUGAGACAUUAAUAAUAAAAUUUUAAAAGUCUUUUAUUAGGAGAGCUAAAAUUUAUAAUCAAUUUGGAAUCACUUGUGAAUUUUAGCAACUGGGUUUGAAAUUUGGAUGGUCAAAGUACAAGCAGAAAGUAUGCUAUGUGAGACUGUUUAACAGAAAAAGGGACUUCAGCCACUGAAAUAAAAAAGCACUUCAGCAUGCAGAAUAAUCACAUUUCAUUUUUAAUGAGUCUUGGAUUAGUACAGAAAACAUUCCUUCAUCAAAGCAACCUUCCAGAUCCUUAGAUGCACAAACUUGAAGGAGCACAAAAAUGCCCUACUUGACAUUAAUGCCAACCUCCACCUACACUUCAAUUGAUACAUUUCGAAAUUGCAUUAGUUCAUUAGGAAACACAUAAGAACUAUAAAGAAUUUUAGAAGAUAAAAGACAUUUUUUGAAUAAGGUGAGGAACUCAUGGAUGUUGUCUAAUUACAUAUCAAUGUGCUUCUCUAUUAAUAUAAUAGGUAGUCAUGACACGAAGCCAGAGUCAUGUGUGUGUUGAAAUUAAAAUGUUUGAGGAACAUUGAUUGUCUCCGAACACAUGUUAGGAUAAUACAGGUUAGGAUAAUUUUUCAAACAGAAUUAUAUGUCACAGAAACCAACUAAGUAUUUCUUCUUCACACUUCCUCUUCCCUGCCUCAUCCUCCUCCCACCCAAAAACAACAAGACAAUGCACCAUCACUAACAACUGCUAAAAAAUAAAAGUUUUGGACAUUUUUAGUUGUCCUGACUUUAAAGUCAAAUGAAACAAAAACACCGUAAUGAAAAAAGAAGAAGAUGACCCUAUUACAUUCGUAUGAACUACUAAUAGAGAUAGCAUAAAUUUCCAAUAUAUUUGAAGUGUUUCCAGUAACAUUUAAAAAAACAAACAAACAAUAAGUGUAAAUGUCUGAAGCAAGUAAUUUUAAUGGCAUAAAUGUAAAAUGUUGCAAAUAUGAUUGCUGCACAUGUUCAUUCAUAGAGUUUUCUAAUUACAUAUGCAAACAUUUGCUUAAGAAGUAAUUCAGUAAAUAGCACAGUGAAAACAAUUCCAAACAUUUUUAAAUGAUAUACUUAUAUCCUGAAAGCUAAAGUGAAUUGUUUAAACACAAAUAUCAACAACUUUUUCUAUUUAAAAAGUUAAAUUAUAAUAUGUUUAAAAAUAAUAUUAAUGCAGUUUAAUUUUGUUAGGUUUAUGGUAAAUUUGGGUGUUUCUUCAUGACCUUCAUGACCUCAAAACUUGCUGAAUCCUUUUUCUUACAAAUGAAAAGAAAAAAAAAAGUUUUUGUUAUGUUUUCUUAACAAAUAGCAGCUGCUGUCUUCUUCAGGGAUGGAACUUGCAGAAAUGCAAGCUUUUACAGGCUGUGUACCACCUAUAGAACUAUGGGCAUCAUAUCAGGGUGACUAUGUUCUCUGAACAGGCUGUCAUCAUCAAAAAAGGAAGAUCCUUACUCUAGCUGCAUUUUUCCUUCCCACAUCUGCAAAAAUAGUUGGUAGGAAAAAUGUAGUGUAUAUGGGAUGAGCAGCAGCAGAUUUGGGCAUCAGCAUUUGGAGGGUUAUCCUCAAAGCCCUCUUUAAAAAGAUGACAAUAUUAAUCAAAUGUUAGAACACCAUCUUCCAGAAGAAGACCUCAGAGGGUUGCCAUUACUCUUUGGAAAAAGUAUAAGCCAAUAAAUAAUUUAAACCAACACAUCCAGCUAACUAUCCAGGGAAUCUUGACAAAACCUUCUUGUUUGCUAGAAUUAAAAUCCCUACAAAGCCUUUUCAAGUAUACCUCUCCUGUCAGCGCAGCCAUGCAAAUACUUAAAGGUACAAUCAAAACACUCUAUCAAGUUCCCUCAAUUAUAUUAGAAAUAAUAGUGUUUUUUGGGGGGUUGUUUUCUUUUCUUUUUGAGAUGUUAUGAUUUUUUUUUUUUUUUUUUUAACUACUGGAAUGAUUAUUUAGGGGCUUUAUUCUUUGUUUUAAACUCUCUUCAGUGUUUUAAGAUUCCUCAAUUUAUGGAUAGUAAUUACUGGAUGUGUGCAACAGGCAACCCUUUACUUCUGUUCCACAUUCCCACUAAUUACCUAUUUUAUUUAUGACAUUGAAAACUUCUGCUCAGAUGACUAUCUACUUCAGUCUUUUGGAGUCUUUGCAUCCUUGUAUAGUUUGCCUACAGUCUUUCUGUAAGCAUAGCUUACUUUACGUAGUUCUGAAAUUAGUAUUUCUCAUGUCCUAGCUUACCAAGUGAUCCAAAUCUUCCUGAAGCAAUGACCUGCACACUUUAUAAUGUAACCAGUUCUACAGCCUUCUUCAUCUUUAAAAAUAUUUUCUAGAACAUUUUAUUUAAGAUCAUCGAUGAAAGCCUUAAAAUAAUAUCGGGUCAGAAAACUAUUCCUGCUUAACCUUCCUCAAAGGACAUUCAGUCAUGUUGCCUUCAGGACUUAAUUGUAUUUAUUCAACAGUUAUUUGAGAAAAUAUUCUAUGCUAAAUGUAGACACAAUGUAAAACAUUUAAAAUUAUAUGUACGUAACUUUUUAAACUGAAAUAAGCUUCAUGUUUUUUAAGGUAUGAUUAUAAGACUAACAGUACACAUACAAGGUUCUGAAAGGCAUAUUGAUUAAAUGGGUACCUAGAUUUAGCUAUAUAUUAAUUCCCCAAGGCAGCUGACAGCGCAUGUUUUUACAAUGGAAGGUAUAUCAGACCGGUAGUCUUUUAUCCUGCCUAUGUGCAUUCAUGACUGAAACAAGUUUGCAGGGAAUCCAUCCUCAAACUGACAAAAGUCUCCCUCAACACUAUCACUGAACACAUAAUAAUGUUUUGUACCUUGUGUUUGGGUAAUUGUGUGUGAGAGCUAGGGGCUGGAACAUGGAGAGUGAGCUCCUUGUUUAUUGAAGACUCUAGACUUCAGCCUCUUACAGUACAGAGGUAUAUUAUCACAGAUUGGCACAGCACACUGUUAUCCAAUAGGCUUUUCAGUAGGGUAAAGAAGAAUUAAAGAAAUACUAGACUGCAACUUAUAAUGACAGAUUCUUGUCACACAUUUUCUUGGUCUGAAUCUCAUUGUCAGGUAGAAAGAUUUCACAGACAAUGAGAUUCCUCAUUAAAUAUCUGUUGAUUCUUUGACUGCAUUUCCUGAAUUAGCUAUCUUAGUUCAUAAGAUGUUUCUUCUGAAAUGCUGAAUAACUUAUUUCCUCUUUUAUUCACUGCAGAUUCUGCAGAUACACACCUUUUAAAAAAUAUAAUUUCAAAUCAAUGAUGCUUUCAACAAGAUGAUAUCACAAGUCACAUACAAAGCAAGCUACACUUUUAACCCUUUUCAUUGCACCCUUGAAUUCCUUAGACUAUAUUUGUCUCUUGAGCCUUCCCUCAAAAGGCCUCAAGGGUACAUUAUACUCCUAUAAUAGGGCCAGUCUGUAUAGGCAGAAAAAAAAAUAUAAUAAAUAAAAAUUAAAAAAAGCUUAAAAAAGCACUGGUGAAUGGCUUUCAAUCUCAUGUAAGAGCCUGUCAAAGUUGUCUCACCUGGCAUGUUCAACAACAUGGAGAGCUUCUUGCACUCUAGAAGGGAUCAGAAUAGGAAGAAGUUAGUUAAAACUGAUUCACCUGAAAUUAAGAUUGACAGUAUUAAGACACUACAAGAACACAUCACCUCCCACUGCUUCAGACACAGCUUGCAGCAUUUACUCAAACAGCACCAGGCAUACUCCACAGCAGAUCAAUUCAAAUUUAAAGAGCCAUGCCAGCGGCACAACUGGAUUACAGCAUCACAGAUAAAGAGAGGGGAUGCAGGUACAAGAGCGCAUGUGGUGACUGCUUCUUAUUCCGUAAAAUGAUUGAACUCAACAAUCAAAUGCCAGAAACAGUGGAAGAGAAUACAUGUAGUCUCAGAAGGUCUGGAUGAAGUCACAGCUAUAUGGAUGGAGGGACUGAGGAUACACACAGGACAUUCAUGCAUAAUGUGGCUAUGUUAGGAUUACAGAGCUUUCUGUUGCUGCAUGGAUGCUGGCCAACUGCUGGAGGACUGAUAGUAAUACAGUCACACAUAUGGGUUUUACUUACAUGUGCCUUCUAGAGUUGGAGCACACUGCUUGGCCUGUGACUUGGUUUUGUCUUUGAAUGUAAGCCAUCACAAGGUAACUGGAGGUGGCUUUGGGUCACUCACUCUUUCCUUACAAGUAACAAUUAGGAUUGGACACUCAUAAUUCAGCUGUUAUUCAAACGGGGGCAAAUCCGUUAUUUGUUCAAUGCUGUCCUUAUUCAGUAUUCUGAUCACUUUGCUCUAUUUCUAUGGGAGAAAAGCAAGCUGAGAAACUGAGCAGCAAUAUAGAUGUUGCUCUUAAUUUUAUGCUAAUGCAGAAAAUUCAAAAACAGACAGGUGUAUGUAUAUAUGUGCUUUUUUUAUGUCUUUUUUCUUUUUUUUUUCUAUUUUCAAAAUAAAUUUAUUUUUGAGCUGCAUCGAACUACACAACUCUUCAAAACUAUGAAAGAAAUAUCAAAAACUGAAGGUGUCAUCUUAAUUGCAUAACUAUUUAUGAGGCAAGCUCUCUGCCAAAUAUUAGUAAAUAAAGAUGUUCUCAUUUAAUUCAAAAUAUUUGAAAUUAUCCAGGACAUAUAGGUUGGAACAAAAUUGCUUAAAAUUACUUUCAAUGUUUUAGUUUUUAAGCAUCAAAGACUUAUCAGUGAGUCAUCUUUAUUUCUGUCCCCCUCCUACAGGCCCAUCAAGACUGCAUCUGCAUCAGCAAAUUAUACAUACCUGGAAAAUGUACUGGGAGGUCACACAGAUCAUCUUUCUCUGUGUCACUCAUUUAAUAGACUCCUUCUCAGAUACAAUCACUAUUUGACUUAUUCCAGAAAUCAGAGAACUAUGUUUAGGUCUCAUUCUGGUAGACAACCUGCUUGAGUUGGGCCUAGUCUUUCAUGUGGUGGACCUCUGGGCUACAAGUUUUCAAGUACACUCUGAAGAGGUUUUCUUCCUUCUCUGCUUCUUAGUGCCAUUUGCUCACAAUGACAGAAUCCUUCCUGGAAAGCCGAUUCCAGCUGGAAUCAGCUUGUUGCUCCCCAUUGUCCCCAGGAUUCCCAGUAUUUUUAUUAUUGUUUUUAUUAUUAUUUAUUAUUAUUUAUUAUUAUUAUUUAUUAUUAAUUAUUUAUUAUUAUUUAUUAUUUUUCUUUCCUGUGAAGAAGUCUUCUCAGACUUCCUAACUUCAUUUACUGGCUGUAGUUCAAGACUGUCCAACUAUCCUGCUUUCAGCCGGGUUACUUUUCUUCCUAGUAACAGGUAUGGUACUGUGGUUUGGAUUUAGGAUGAGAAUAAUGCUGAUAAUGCAUAGAUGUUUUAGCUGUUGCUGAGUAGUGCUUACACAUAGUUAAGGACUUUUCAGCUUCUCUUGCUGCUCUGCCAAUGAGAAGGCUGGGGGUGCACAAAAAGCUGGGAGGGAAUGGAACCAGGACAGUGGACUCAAACUGGCCAGGGAUAUUCAAUACCAUAUGACAUCAUGCUGAACAAUAAAACAGGGGAGGCUCUGCUUGGAGUAAGGCUGAGCAUCAGACAGCAUGUAGUGAGCAAUUGCAUUGUGCAUCACUUUUAUCAUUAUCUUUUAUCAUUAUUAUUAUUCGUCCUUCCUUUCCUUCAUUUUCUGUCCAAUUAAACUUUCUUGAUCUCAAUCCCCAAGGUGUUUUUUUGUUUGUUUGUUUGUUUUUGUUUUUGUUUUCAUUUUUUUGUUUGUUUGUUGGUUUGUUUUUUUUUGGUUAAUUUUAUUUAUUUAUUUAUUUAUCCAUUUCUUUCCCCUGUUCCAGCUGGGGGUUGGAGGAGUGAGCAACCAGCUGUGUGGUGCUUAGCUGCUUGUUGUUUUAAACCACAACCACAAAAUAUAAUACAUGUUUAUCGAUUCUACCAACAUCUCAAAACAGUUGUAGCAGUGCUUGCCAGGGGCAGGGGUAGAUAAGACUCUAUGCUUUUGCAGAGUAUGUCUACAGAGGAUUGCCUUGAAAGUCAUUAUGCACAAGAUGGCUUUAUGAAUUCUGCUGACUAUGCUAUAAACUGGAGGGGACUUCAAGAUGGGGGAUAUACUUGCAACCUAUUAACUUAAUUGAUUGAAGAAGGCAGCUGUGGAACAGGCAUAAGUAAGAGGAAAUAUAUGGAGAAUGGUUAGGUUGUGUUUGCUGUGAGGAGUCAGUAGUUUCAUAAUAUUUCACCUUUGUGUUUAAGGGCUGAUCUAUAUGGUGAAUAGUAUUGUGAAGCUGUUUAGUUUAAAUACCAGUGAUAUUUCUGUAACUAAAAGAAAAUAAUAAUAAUGAGUUGGCAAAAUAUUUAUGUAAUCUCAUUAUAUAUAUAUAUAUCUUCUAGCUAGAUAUCUUUUGUAGAAUGACCUAUUCAGUGAUUCUAGAGUAAGGACUUACUAAUGACUGUUUUGCUAAUAAACCAUUAGUAAUGUUGUCAGUAAUCCAUAUCUUGAAGGCAACUGAAGAAAAACAAGGAGUCUCUUGCAGGGAAUUUCAAAAGUAGAAGCCCAAGAUGAUACCAGCAUCCUAAGGGAAUGAGGAUUAAUCACAAAUGAUUAAUUCUCUGUCACUAAAAAUGAAACCUUAACAUCUAUAGAGGUAGUAAGGCAUAAAUUGAAUAUGUACAUAUAAACAUGUAGAACCAUGUGUAUAUAUAUAAUCAGGCUACCUAUUGAAGCAUGCUAGGACUGAAGUCACUAGAGCCUUCCUUUGCUGAAGGGACAUAGGAAAAUAUUGUGGGAAAAUAUAUUUCUGAGGUAGUCCUUUCCUGGACUUCUCAUCAUAUGUCUCUGGUUCUAAGACAUAUGUGUUGUGUCCAGAAGAUCCACAUUCAUAGGGAAUUCAUUCACAGGGAAUUUGGUGUGUGUGUGUGUGUGUGUGUGUGUGUGUGUGUGUGUGAAUAUGGAAAGCAUGUAGCUGGAGACUUAGAUCCUUAGUCCCAGGUCAUGAAACUGAAGAGGAUCAAUGGAGUUCUUCUAUCUAAACAAUCCAGACUGAGUAGUAUAAAACUGCCAAGCAGUCAGGACUUCUCUUGUCAUUCUCUUUUGCAGAGGAGUAGUUUCUGCAGCAUUGUGAGAUUCUGUGAUUCAUCUAUGCAGAAAUCCUUUGCCUGGCUCAAACAACACAAUGAGUCAGGCCUUGAAAUGACCCUAAAUCAUACAUAAAUGUCUUUUAAACAGGACCAGUAUUAAAAGCAGAAGCAUCUGCAGUUUUACAUGUGGCUUGCUUUUGAAACUUUCAGUGUGUUCAUAAGGUGUCCAUAUAACAGUUGUGCAUUAGGUGCUGAGCAGUCACAUGGCAAAGUAGGAAAGAUUAAAAAUGCUGAAUAAUGUAGUAUGGUGUAUUUAUUUGUAAGGCUUAUUUAUUAAGUAAUAUGACAUUAGCCACUCAGAGCCACCUGUCCUAGAGAACUGGGGUGACUCUUCAGAAUAAAUAUCAAGGUAUUGCAAAUAUAGAUACUAUGAUUAACAUGCUAGUGUGCUGCAAGUUUUGUAAAGAUGUUCUUUAUAUUGAUGUAAGCCUAAAUAAGCAAUGGCAUACGCUCGUAGUCUCAAAGACAAUAGAGGGAUUUGAGGUAGAGAAUGACAAUUACUCAUCUAAAUCCAGCAGUGAUUGGGGACAUAUUUUAAUGAUGGACCAUUAAUAAUGAUGGAGACAUGACUUGUUUACGCUGAAGCAGCACAUAAGGAAAGUAACUGCAAUAGCAAUGAGCUUUUACAAUCCUGCAUCAAAUAACUAAAAAGCAUUGUAGUUGCAACCAAUAAAAUACUAUCACUCCAAUAACAUAAUGUCUAAAUAUCAGGAAGCACUUUGCAGGUGAUGGAGCACUGGAACAGGUUGUCCAGACAGGUUAUGGAGUCUCACUCUUUGGAGAUCUUCAAAAGCUGCCUGGACAUGAUCCUGGACAACCUGCUCUGAGUGUCCCUGCUUGAGCAAGUGAGGUAGACCAGAUCACCUCCAGAGGUCAUCAUUCUGUGAUUAUGUGAUUCUGUAAUAAUAGACUUGAGAAGGUUCAGAAAGUUUAGAAGGAUUCAAUAUCUCCCAGGGCUAUUACUAGCCACUAACAGUAUAGAGUUCUAAUUAUUCCUUUUUAUUUUCUUUAUUUUUAUGUGUUCAAUUGGUCUUAUAAAAGCAAAAUUUGCUCUGACAGAAUCUACUUCCAAAAAUAAAAAUAAUUCUAUUUGGCUUUUCAUCUCUGUAAAUGGUCUAAACCUAAAUAGUAUGCAUGGAAAAGAGAACAGAAAGUACAACUAGUAGUCUUUACGUUACAAACAAUGUCAGAAAUAUACUGAUACAACAUUACAAAACAAACAAACAAACAAAAAAAGAUCCAACAAGAUUUAUACUUUGGCUUUAGAUCCAUCCAUGUAUUGGACCAGACUAAUGCUAGCAGUUACCUUAAGCACAGGAUGGUUAAUGAUGCAUUUAUAGUAUUGAUUACAUAAUACAUUGUAAUAAGCAGAAUUAAAGGGGUAGAAAUUAGUGUUCUUUUAAAUGUCAGAGAAUUUGUUAUAAGAAUUUACAGUGAUGUAAAUGCUAUAUUCAUCCAAGAGCUUUCAAUUUAACACAGAUGAAGCUUUUUCAUAAAGUUAUUCCUUCUUACAUUUAACUUAAUUCCCAAUGUAAUUUAAUUAUCUUCCUUCUGUUUAAGGCCAGAAGACUGCUUAAAUCAGUAUUAUUUAAUUGAUAAGACUGCAAUUUAAGAUAGCUACUUACAAUGUAAAAUUGUGCAGAUAAAUAAGUGGAAAGUGAUGUAUCCAGAAUUCUUAGACGAUUCUUAAAUUCUAGCUACAUUAUGAGCAUUUUACAGGAAAAAAGCGGUACUUUGUCUUUUUGACAGCAAAGGUUAGACUGACUGUUAAAUAGCAGCCAGGGUAUAUGCCAGAAACAACUUUGUUUAAAAAACUCAAGAAGAUAAAAGCCACCUCCUAUGGUCUUUAUCAUAGCAGUCAGCAGGGAAGGUGAUUUGUAUUUUUAGGACUAAUCCUCAGGAAAUGUAAAGUUUCUACAGUCUUCUAAAAGCAAUGGGUACAUACACUCAUAUUGUAGAGAACCGCUCUGAAUCCCAUUUUUUUCAGAGUUGCACAGUCAUAGAAUUGCCUGCUGUCCAUGAAAUGUAUUUAACCUUUUCAUUAUAUGCAAAAGUGGACUGUGGAUUACAUUUUAAAAAUGAAAAUAAGCUUAGUAGCAUUCUCCUUCUUUUUUUUGUUUUGUUUUGUUUUACCAAAGACAUUCUUCAUUUUAAUUUGAAUGAAGAAGAGGGUGAAUGUGUCAGAUAAGUAGUUAUUUAAAUAUUUUAGAAGGUCAUCACAGCAUUUUUUUCAUAUUAUUUAUGUGAAACGUAGCACGAAAUGCACAUCAAAAAGCAACAGAAAUUAUUUAAAAAAAAAAAAAAACACCUUUUCAGUGGAACAGUGAGGAAGUAAAUCUGUGUUAUGGCUGCUUCUCCUGUGUGAAAUUAGAAAACAACUUUAGAGACAAGCAACUGACAAGAAGGAAAGUGUUUUUUAUUUGUCUGGAAUAAAUAAAUAAAUAAAAUAUGUAAAAUGAGAAAAAUAGGAAGUAAAGAUCCUUAAGAAUAGACAAAAUUUAUUUAUUUAUUUAUUUAUUUAUUUUUAGCAUUUUACUUGAUGUCUUCUCCAAAAGUUUAGCAAAUGUGUCAAGAAAAGACUUCCUGAUUCAAGAGCAAAGAAUUAUUUUUCUGUCAGAAGGUGGAAAUACACAUUGCAAUAUUAUUUAGAAAAUGAUUUUAGUUUCAGCAGACUCUUUGAAGAUUUUGGUUUGUUCCAUACACAAUUAAUUCACUGGUACUGAAAUAAUAUGUUACUGAAAUGAAAUUGAUGUUCUUAUGACAACUACAGAGCUAAAAAGAUUAAACAUCUAGGGAAACAGUUCUCUUUUUUAAAAUAAUUAUGGACAAUAAUUUAAUGAACCAAAAUGUUGCUCUUUUUUUCUGGUAUUCACAGGAUGGGAAUGGCAUGAAUAAUAGGAACAAAGAGUAGUUAGGCAUUGGAGCCCAAGGAGGUGGUGGAGUCACCAUCUCUGGGCAUGUUUAAGGAAAGAUUGGACAUGGUACUUAGGGACAUGGUUUAGUAGAUGACAUUGGUAGUAGGGUGAUGGUUGGACCAGAUGAUCUCGGAGGUUUUUUCCAACCUGAAUGUUUUUACAAUUCUAUGAUUCUGUAAAUGGUAGACAUGCUUAAAAAUAUCCUUCCAGAUAAACAGAAAUCAGUGAAAAGUUCUACCAAGGUGGCCAUUGAAAUUUCCUGCACAUUAAUCUCCUGGGAGGGAAAUUUUCUGGUUGGUUGUUUAGAGAAAUCUAAUGAUUCUCAUUGCAUGUGUUACAUGUGGCUUUAUGUGUCACAGUGACCAGCAAAUGUAUCACAGUGACCAACUCGUCAUUUUAAAACAAAUUAAACCCUCAAUCCAAGUGAGAACCAAACUUUUUAUUAACAAGAAAUGCUUCUGUAUUACAAAGCAAAAUUAAACAUUUUACUUAGAACCAUAAUAACUGACUUCAAUACAGCCAACCCAUAUAUGGAUAACGUUUUGCAGACUCAGUACUCCUCUUAGUCUUUAAAAAAAUGAAUUCUCAGUUGUGUAUGUAAAAUGUGUUUCAUCUUUAGGUUACCUUCAUUAUCUAGAAUUUUAAUUCAGUCUAUAUUUGAAGUUAUUCCUUUAUACCUAAUGGUUAUAUUGUCUUAUCCCUAAAGACUGGUCUCCAAAAAAGCAGGUGAAACUGAAUUAUCAGUAAGUUAAAUAUCAGCCCUGUAUAAAACUUAAAGUCUGUUUCUUAUGACAUAUUAUUUGAAAACUGCCAUAAUUAUACAUGUAGACCACUUAUAUUGAGAUUUUGUCCUUCCUACUUAUUACUUUAACUAGCUUUAAAGAGAAAAUAGUACCCAAAUUUAAAAUUGUAAUUCCUGUAGUACAUUCCUAAAGUGCAUUAGAGCACAAAUGCAAAAAAGCAUUAUUAUGAUUACUACAGUAUAAUCAAGUCCAUUUACUCUAAUACUCAUGAAACAUUCGGUUAAAGUUUUCAAAAAAGGUUUUCAAGCUUGCAGCUAGCACUACAACCUAAGACUACAAAUGCAUGUAGUAGAGAAGGUAUUGGAUUCUCUUUUGAGUUUCGUAUUAGCAGCACAUGUGGAACACCAACUUCAAUAGCACAAGUUUAAUAUUUAUUAAAGGAAGUCUCUUCACAGUAUACCAGAAGGAGUUAUGCUUGAAUAUUUUAAUGUAUCAGGACCUUAGAAAUUACUACUUCAUGAAUUAAUAUGCUAUCACAUAGAAAAAAAAUCUAAUUGUAGGUAGCUGCCUUUUUUGCAAGAAAAAAAAAAAAAAAAAAGAACUUUUUUUAAAUUUUGGACUAAUAUAAUUUAUAUAUUAUAUUUGUUAUCCUAAUCUUAAUGUCUUCUUAUUCCAGUUCAGAAGUCAAAGCUAUAAAGAAAGUAGACAUGGGUUAACUAAUUGCAAUUUUGUUAUAUUUCAAAAAAAAAAAAAAAAA